GGGGAGCAGCCCAGAGCCUGAAUCAGUAUGUGUGUUAGUGGAAGCGUCUGGAAAGGCGCGCGAUACAGGGUGACAGCCCCGUACACAAAAAUGCACAUGCUGUGAGCUCGAUGAGUAGGGCGGGACACGUGGUAUCCUGUCUGAAUAUGGGGGGACCAUCCUCCAAGGCUAAAUACUCCUGACUGACCGAUAGUGAACCAGUACCGUGAGGGAAAGGCGAAAAGAACCCCGGCGAGGGGAGUGAAAAAGAACCUGAAACCGUGUACGUACAAGCAGUGGGAGCACGCUUAGGCGUGUGACUGCGUACCUUUUGUAUAAUGGGUCAGCGACUUAUAUUCUGUAGCAAGGUUAACCGAAUAGGGGAGCCGAAGGGAAACCGAGUCUUAACUGGGCGUUAAGUUGCAGGGUAUAGACCCGAAACCCGGUGAUCUAGCCAUGGGCAGGUUGAAGGUUGGGUAACACUAACUGGAGGACCGAACCGACUAAUGUUGAAAAAUUAGCGGAUGACUUGUGGCUGGGGGUGAAAGGCCAAUCAAACCGGGAGAUAGCUGGUUCUCCCCGAAAGCUAUUUAGGUAGCGCCUCGUGAAUUCAUCUCCGGGGGUAGAGCACUGUUUCGGCAAGGGGGUCAUCCCGACUUACCAACCCGAUGCAAACUGCGAAUACCGGAGAAUGUUAUCACGGGAGACACACGGCGGGUGCUAACGUCCGUCGUGAAGAGGGAAACAACCCAGACCGCCAGCUAAGGUCCCAAAGUCAUGGUUAAGUGGGAAACGAUGUGGGAAGGCCCAGACAGCCAGGAUGUUGGCUUAGAAGCAGCCAUCAUUUAAAGAAAGCGUAAUAGCUCACUGGUCGAGUCGGCCUGCGCGGAAGAUGUAACGGGGCUAAACCAUGCAC
rnacentral:rRNA from 1 species